GAUGAAGAACGUAGCGAAAUGCGAUAAGUAAUGUGAAUUGCAGAAUUCAGUGAAUCAUCGAAUCUUUGAACGCACAUUGCGCCCCGUGGUAUUCCGCGGGGCAUGCCUGUUCGAGCGUCAUUUCACCACUCAAGCCUCGCUUGGUAUUGGGCGACGCGGUCCGCCGCGCGCCUCAAAUCGACCGGCUGGGUCGAUCGCACCCUUAGCGUUGUGGAAACUAUUCGCUAAAGGAGUUGUGGUCGGUCACGCCGUGAAACAAACCAAUCUUUCAAUGGUUGACCUCGGAUCAGGUAGGGAUACCCGCUGAACUUAAGCAUAUCAAUAAGCGGAGGA
rnacentral:misc_RNA from 1 species